GUUAUAGGGUCAAGCGAACAAGUGCAUGUGGUGGAUGCCUUGGCGAUCACAGGCGAUGAAGGACGCGGUAGCCUGCGAAAAGCUACGGGGAGCUGGCAAACAAGCUUUGAUCCGUAGAUGUCCGAAUGGGGAAACCCGGCCCUUUUGGGUCAUCCUAGACUGAAUACAUAGGUCUAGUGAAGCGAACGCGGUGAACUGAAACAUCUAAGUAACCGCAGGAAAAGAAAUCAACCGAGAUUCCCAAAGUAGUGGCGAGCGAAAUGGGAUGAGCCUUGUACUCUUUAUUUGUAUUGUUAGCCGAACGCUCUGGAAAGUGCGGCCAUAGCAGGUGAUAGCCCUGUAGGCGAAAACAGUAUGAAAGAACUAGGUGUACGACAAGUAGGGCGGGACACGUGAAAUCCUGUCUGAAGAUGGGGGGACCAUCCUCCAAGGCUAAAUACUCGUGAUCGACCGAUAGUGAACCAGUACCGUGAGGGAAAGGCGAAAAGAACCCCGGGAGGGGAGUGAAAUAGAUCCUGAAACCGCAUGCAUACAAACAGUCGGAGCCUCGUAAGGGGUGACGGCGUACCUUUUGUAUAAUGGGUCAGCGACUUACGUUCAGUAGCAAGCUUAACCGUAUAGGGCAGGCGUAGCGAAAGCGAGUCCGAAUAGGGCGUUCAGUUGCUGGGCGUAGACCCGAAACCAGGUGAUCUAUCCAUGGCCAGGAUGAAGGUGCGGUAACACGUACUGGAGGUCCGAACCCACUAACGUUGAAAAGUUAGGGGAUGAGCUGUGGAUAGGGGUGAAAGGCUAAACAAACCUGGAAAUAGCUGGUUCUCUCCGAAAACUAUUUAGGUAGUGCCUCGUGUCUCACCUUCGGGGGUAGAGCACUGUCAUGGUUGGGGGGUCUAUUGCAGAUUACCCCGCCAUAGCAAACUCCGAAUACCGAAGAGUGCAAUCACGGGAGACAGACAUCGGGUGCUAACGUCCGGUGUCAAGAGGGAAACAACCCAGACCGCCAGCUAAGGUCCCCAAAUAUGGCUAAGUGGGAAACGAAGUGGGAAGGCUAAAACAGUCAGGAGGUUGGCUUAGAAGCAGCCACCCUUUAAAGAAAGCGUAAUAGCUCACUGAUCGAGUCGUCCUGCGCGGAAGAUGUAACGGGGCUAAGCCAUAUACCGAAGCUGCGGAUGCG
rnacentral:rRNA from 1 species